CCCGACGGGAUCCGCGCGGCGGGAGGGGAUGGCCGGGGGGCCCGCAGAGCGGCCCGGCACGAGGUCUGCCCUCCUCUGUUAUCCAUGCACCCAUCAGCUCCUGGGAGUCACUUUGAUGAAGGAAUCAGAGGAAAAUUGGAAAAUACCUUCAGCUUGAGGCCUGAGUCAAGUGCUGUUAUUAAUAGCGUGUUUAAUUACGAGUGGCAUCUAAAUCAGGCAUAAGCUGAAGAACAGGAGGAAAAGCAAAGCAAGAGAUUCCCAUGUUGAGACCAUGGAGCGCAGGAAGCUGCAGUGCUGUGCAGCCAUCUGAACUCAGAGUGAUGUUUGACCUCAGAUGAUGAACAGGAGCUUUGCCUUCUUGCUGUGCAAUGCCAGAUCACCAGAAAAGAUCUUAGCUAAUACUUGUAAUGAUAUCGUGGCUCAGAUUGGGUGUACGAGCAUGUUGUAUGCUGCUUAACAGCAGAAGGUGAUGGGAUUUGAUGGAGAUACAUGUCUGUAUUUCCUAACCUUCAGCAGGAACAGCAAAGAACUCUUGUUCCAAGAAGGAAUUCAGAAUAUCUCCUCCGCGUUCUACCUCUGCAUGCUGAGACAGAGUGAGAACUGCAGUCAUGGAGUGAGAAGACUCACAGAAGAGGUGUGUGGUUGGUACACCCCAUCUGUCUGAGUUCUACAACAAGUCCCUGUUUGCAUCAAAUUCUGGACUGCUCGCGUCCCUCUCUGACUACACUGGAGAACAGCUGAGGUCCCUCUCACUGAACGCUGCUUCCCAAGGGCUGAAUUCGGAUGAGAAAACCACUGUAACAUUGGCUCCUACUAUUCAGUGGGAAUAACCAGAGCCAGGUGAGCACGGAUUCUGUGGCACAUAUUGAAUGCCUGGAGACCAACAACAGAGCUCCUGGAAUGGAAUUCCUCCAUUCCAGGUGGUCCACUGCAACAAAUAAUGGACUCAACAAAAAGAACAGUUAUAAGAAUAAAGGAGAAAGAGUGAUUUGUAUUUGGAGGAAUUACGAGUGUGACUUCAUUCAGAACCAGCCCAGCACACGUGCAGAACUCCCUAAGUGCAGUUCAGAGCAUUGCGUCCUCUGAUCAGGUAGGAACUAAUUUGCUAAGUGCAAAAGUUGGAAAAUUUUGUAGCUGUUUAACAGCAAAUCACAGAUCUGUCCUCAUUUAUUUUUCCUGACACAUUUAUUAUUGAAAGAUGGUUUGGUGAGUGCCAUAAGUAAGCAGGCGGUGUUGUUCCUGAGCCCUGAGAUUUGUCACUUCGGCUACAUCUUUCUGAUCUGUGACGGAGUGUUUUCUGCAGGAGAACAGGAAUGCUAAAUAAGGCAUCAAUAAUGCAAGAGAUCCGUGAAUAAUCACCCGAGUGCUUGAAAACGAGUGGACAGUGUGAUCAUAUGGUAGAAGAAAAAUAACGUUAGCUGCAUAUUUAUCAACGCCUGGUGCCAUUAGCACAGGGUCUGGCAAUAGCUCAAGGCUUCUAGGAGACAGUGCACACAGUGCUUUGGUGCCCAAUGCUACAGGAGGAGGGCACAUCCCCAGAGCAGGGAGCUUGUUUGGGCCCGGCCAGUCUGUGGCUGGAUGGGGUAAUGGAUGGGGAUGGCAGACAGCACCCUUCGUGUGUUUGUCCUAUGCUGCUGCAUUUUAGCCCCGUCUCUCACUGCACCAACGUGUCUAUCUUAAAAAGGACUUCUGAGUGCAAACAUUUGAUCCUGGGAGCAAGCAGAGUCAUUGGAAACUGUACCAGAAAGAACUGCCCCUGUCCCGCAGCUGUGUUGGAGUCACUCUCGGACAGCCUGCACUUCUGGUAGCUUUGGAACUGAGCUCUUUUGGGGCUGAAUGAGAGGGGCCCAACAGCUCCAUCAGGAGAAAAAUGGCUGCGGGAAGUACAGAGUGCGUGUCAACGUGUGUCUAACGAGAGCUGAUGGGAAAUGCAGGACCGUGAACAGAUGCAAUGGAAUGGCAUCCUGUGGGAGGAGGCAGGUCCAGCCGCACACGGCACUGCCACGGGGUACAGGAACGAGUUAAUGCCACUGGGGGACGGCUGAGAACAGCGACAUUGUUGUUCCCUGAUGUCAGCCCAGAAACCCAAACACAAAGAGGUGAAUGUAGUGCUAUGAGAGGGCCCUUGAGAGAGCUGAAUGCUGGGCCUGUGCCGGGGCACCCAGCAGAAUUAGAAACGGCAGGGGAUGACCAAGUGUUUCCUGGAAGCAGGGGCUGCAGGCAGCUGUCGGCAGGCAGGGCUGUGUGCGUGGGGCACUGCUGGCUGCAGUGGUACAAGCAGGCAGUGUCGGUAGGCUUGAGGAGAUCCACGUCCACGAGGGACUCCUGUUUUACUUUAUAGCUCAGCGUAAGGCGUCUCGUUUCCUCCUGUAGGAUGCACAUGUCGAGCCCUUCUGCAUAAUUCAGUGUUGCAUUUGGUGGGUGGUGCUCUGGGGGAUAUUUAGAUGGAGCGACAGUAGAGACAUUGCUUCGCUUCUGUACAAACUGCACAUCAGAUCUUCUACGUGUAACGUGGGGAAAAAAAGACAGAGAUCUGCUGGAAGGAGUCCGGUGGAGGGCCACAACGAUGAUAGAAGGCCUGGAGCAUCUUCCCUGUGAGGAAAGGCUGAGAGACCCCAGGUUCAGCCCGGGGAAAAGGAGGCCGAGAUGGGAUCUGUUUAUGUUUAUGAACAUGAAGGGAGGCGGGAGCCAAAAGGAUGAGGCCAGGCUCUUCUUGGUGGUGCGCAGCAAUAGGACGAGAAGCAACGGCCUAACACUUGUUGUAGGAAGUUUCAAGCUAACAUGUGGAAGAACUUUAUGUAAGGGUGAGGGAGCACCCUGCAGAUCUGUACGGAAAGUCUGAGACUAAACGCUGACAGAGACGUAUGCACCAACACACGGCACCACUGCAGGCAGCAUGACGGGGAGCCGGAACCCCGAGGGCAGCACCCGUCGGGGGGCCUCCACGGGGCACCAGCGGCAGGAGAGCGGCCGGCCCACAGGCCGAGAGCACGGAGCGGAGCGGCGGGGGACGGCGGGAAGCCCGGGGACAACGCCGGGCGGGGCCGCCGAGGCGCCGAGCUGCCCGCAGAGCGCUCCACCCAGCCGGGCUCGGCCCGGCCCCGCGCGGCGGCCCGCCCUCUCAUAGCGCCCCGCGAAAACCUUCCCACAGCCGGGGAUGUAGCUCAGUGGUAGAGCGCGCGCUUCGCAUGUGUGAGGUCCCGGGUUCAAUCCCCGGCAUCUCCAGCGGCUUCUUUUUUGCGUCGCACGCCAUUUUCUCCCCUCUCUCCAGCUGCGGGAGGCUCCCGUUGCCGCGAAUCGCGCGGCCGUUGUCCCGCCGCACCGCUGUGCGCCUGAGGCCAGUCCUCGGGGAGGCCGGGAAAGCAACGCGGCGCUGCGGCUUCUCCGGCCUUAAAAAGAGCACUGCUUUUUGCCGAAAGGAAAUACAAACGAGUAAAUCAAUCAAGGCUUUAAAGGGAAGGAAAAAAUUUCGGUUGCAUUGGCCGGGAAUCGAACCCGGGCCUCCCGCGUGGCAGGCGAGAAUUCUACCACUGAACCACCAAUGCACGACUUGCUAUGUUAUAUGGAUGGUCUGUCCUACAAUAUAUCAAACAUUGGGUUUCUGCUGUGCUUUUCUUCUCCCUUCCCUCUUCCCAGCUCUGUGCCCAUGAGCAGUACCUCCAGCCGUUAUCUCCAGGAGAAAAUGUUUUUAGAAAGUCGGCAAUAUUUGUAUACAUUUUUUCCUCCAACAGAUUAAAAACCCUGUAACUUUCCAUAAUAAAGUCAUCGUCCCUUGAAUUUAACAGCAUUCAGGCUAAGUAACAGCGGGUUUAUCCUUGUAUCCAGUGCUGGGAGGGCACUGCCAGAGGAGGCCACCAGCAGAGACCACAGCUCUGCUCAGCACAGCCCUGCUCUGAGGGACGCAGCCCACAGACACUGAUACACAAUGGAACACAGUGCAGUGAUGGGUAAUGGUGUAAGAGGGCCUGGACAGUGACGUAACAACGUCACCACUGCAGCAGUGCGGUGCAGUGCCAUCACAGCUCCUUGUCCCCCCAGACCUCAACUUCUCCUUUUACGCUGGCAGAAAGUAACAGAGUAAAAGCAUCAGGUAGUAACCCUUACUUAGGCUAUGCUUACAAUAUCUCCAGUCAGCCCUGGAACACUUUCUCUAGAACAAAAGAAGUUAGAGGUGGAAAAUGCUCAUAUUGAGAAGAGUUUAACUUCCUGUUUUACUCUAUGUGGAGGAAGAUUUUACAGAUGAUCAACAAAGUGUUACCAAUCCUGUGCCAUUUCCAGAGUGAAAGUGAAACCAGCCCUUACACUUGCAGUUUGCAGCUAAGAGAAUCCUUUCCCACGUGCAUCAGACAGCGCUCUGCAUCCGCUCAGAACAUCCAUGUAUGCUGGCUGAAGGGUUACAGACAGCACGGUGAAGGAGGGGGAGUUGGACCCACUGCAGCUGGAGCACUGCUGCAGAACGUGCUCCAGAAGCACUUGUUCAAGCAGUGUGACAGGCUCAUACCUAACUUCUAACUCUAGGGAUGUCUAAGACAUCCUAACUUUACGAUGACUGCACGUGGGAGAGUGCUGAAUGGAGAGAAUCAAGACCUGUAACAUUAGAAAAUGAUUAGAAAAUCAUUCCCUUCAGCUGGUUCAAAAAUCUUUCUAGAAGCCAAAGGGAUGCCAUAGACCUUCAGCAGAAACAGAGAAGGAAAAACAUGUUAUAGGGAGAGAGGAUUUUCUUAGAUCUUUUUAUCCAUCAAAAAGAGCCAAAUGCACUUCCUUCCAUUCCAGGUCACCUUUAAAGGGGCUCUGAUCUUGCUGCUUGUGGCUAAGGCUUGACACAGUGCCUUCCUAGCGGCUCUGCUGCUGCAGGGUGGGAGUGAUGUGCUCUGGGCACUGGUGCUGCCCCUGCUGUGUGCCUCUGAGGAGGGUGCUGUAGCUCAGGGGCACCGAGAGCAUCUCAAGUGCAGGUGGUACAGGUGGAUUUGGAACAAGGUAAGGAGUUUCAGACAGGAAGUGCUAAAACUGCUCAAAUCACUCUUAAAACUGGAGGUGUGAGUUACCUGGAGUGUGGUAAGCGGACAUCAUUCAUUCCCUCUUUCCUGCUAGGUAUGGCCACACGUGCUCCUGCCAUGUGAUGCCCGUGUGGCGGUGCACCACUCACAGUUACAGUGGGGUUGCAUCCAUCUCUGUAUU
ensembl:lncRNA